rnacentral:tmRNA from 1 species
GGGCUUGUACUGGUUUCGACAGGCUGGUUGAAGAUGGUGAAGCUAUCCGUGGACUGCGACCACGUAAAAACGUAGACUUAAAUUUAAACGCUGAUAAAGAAUUAGCUUACGCUGCCUAAUUAUGGUGGCUGCUGUGCUUAAGAAGCCUACAGCUUAAGUUCAGUAUCAUCCUUUUGUAGGGAACCUUUUUCGGUAAGCUUUGCCCGGAAAAGAGCAACUAUGAAGCUACUGAGUUCGGAGGGUGUUAGUUCCCAACCGGAUAAAGGAAUAUGGAAGAACUGACUAUGAUAGUAGAAGAACAUGGGAUUCCAGUUUGGACAGGGGUUCGACUCCCCUCAGGUCCAUAG